rnacentral:lncRNA from 1 species
UUAUCAUCAUCAGCAUCCGAGAUAUCCUGAUUCAUUCCUUGUUGCUCAGGCUGAGACGCAAUGCACAUCUUUUAUACAUUGUCCCGCCUCAUUUCACCAUGCACAUUUUUAUACAUGGUUGUCUUUACCCUUUAUGUGCACAUUAUAGUUAGCUCAUUAGUAGGAAGUAGACUAAUGGUUUGAACACGAUUUCAUAAAUAUUGAUACAUAUAAAACAUACUUGAAAACCUAGCAUAAGUUUCUCAUAGAAAUCUCUUGAAAACAUUCGUGUUGAAAUAAGUAUUUCAAAUCAAUAAACAUUUUAUUAAGAAAGCUUGAAAUCGUGUAAAUCACUUUAAACAAACACUCACAUUACUUGGUUACUUAAACUUCAAAGACUUCUCUUCUUCUUCCUCUCGAAUAGCUACUUCCGCUAAACUUCAAUACUUUAAAUUUUCUCUUUAGAAUUUUAGAAUAACAAUACUUAUGAAUUUGGCUAAAGACCCCUAUUUAUACUAGUUCCAAAAUAGUUUAGUUAUCCUUAAACUCUUGUCAGCAACUCCUACUCGUAGUGGUACAUGUGUAAGCUUAAGAUUUAACUUAAUCAUGUUUAGCUUAAACCUUCACACAUGGCCCAUUAAGUAAACUUAGAAAAAUUCUGAGAAGUUUUCUUACUUCUUCACGCCUAAUCUUUCAUCUCGUGUAGUACCUUAAUCGCAUACUAACACUUAAACGCCUAGAAGUCCUAUCACAUAACCUUUUCUCAAUGCAUACUUAACUUAAUUGUCAACUUCUUACCACAUAGAUUGCUCAAAACACCCUCUUUGAAACACUUGGCUAAUAAUUCAGCCUUUCUUAGGUACAGAUCUUAGUAAAACCAAAACAGAACCAACGUAAAAAAAAAAAAAACAAAAUUAUUUGAAAUCAGAUUCAACUCCAAAAUUCACAUUAAAGAAAGUUGAGAAUACAAUAACAUAUAAAGUUAAAUUCCUCGUAUCAACAACCAUUAUAUAUCAUAUUUAAAUUAAUGUUACAUGAAAUUAAAUGGUUUGACAAAUAAAUAAAAUCUCGUUUUGUUUUUAAUUUUAAAGACAAUAGAAAAGCACAUAAAUAAAAUUAAAAAGAAAAAGUAACAAAAAGGAAAAUGGUAGGAUUCACUAUUUUACCACCUUUGCCAUUUUUCACCAUUUUCUCUUCCCUCACUUCUUCUCCUUCGUUUUUUCCAUAUCAAUCCUCUUCACUUUAUUUUCUUAUUCUUCUUUUAUAAACUUCUUGUUUUAGUAUCCUUUUGUUACUAUUAUUGUCCUCAAAAUUGGUGCUCCAACACAAAUUCAAGCUGCCUUACACAUCAUUUUGAAAUUCCUAAUUUGUGAUGUCUCCAAAUUAAAGUUAUGCUUUCAUGGUUCUCGUCCUUUUGGCUAAAGGUUCUCAUCUACAACGUUCAACAUUUUUCUAACCAUCACAUUUUAUCCAUUCCAAUCGAAUUUAGGACAUGGGAUUGGAAACUGAGAUGCUUCGAAAGGGAAAAAAAAUGGUAAAAUUGGAAUUUAAGAACAUAAAAGUCUGACUUAGAUUAUUGUUGCUAUAUUUACGAAACCACAAACCUUAAAGCAAAAUACCUAAACUAUUUUGCCAUAUGGGUUUAGGCAGAGAGAGAGGAAUUUGUGAACUACAAAAUUGAGUUUUCUUUUUAACUCAAUCAAUAAUAAUUUGCAUAUUCUUGUGGUUUUGAAGGUGAACACAGAGUUCCACUAAAACUUGUUUCCUUUGAAAACGAACAGAGAGAGUAGUGAAGAAGAUGUUAACAAUUGAUAGUUAAACAAUGAAAAUAUAUACCAAUUACCUUGCAGAAUUAAAGAGUGUCCAAUAUAUGUUAAGAGAUGCUAUACAAAACUCCAACCUUUUUCCAUUGAAACGUUCGUUGAUGGUCAUCUAACCAAAUGCUUGAUAAUGGUUAGAUUUUGGAUGGUGAGAUGACCAACAACAAAAGUAUCGAUGGCUAAAGCAAUCGUCUCAUUCUGAGUCGUUCUCACCACACCAACUAAACACAAAGACC